rnacentral:rRNA from 1 species
CUACGGGUUGCUGCAGUGAGGAAUUUUGCGCAAUGGGGGAAACCCUGACGCAGCAACGCCGCGUGAGUGAUGAAGGCCUUCGGGUCGUAAAACUCUGUCAAGUGGGAAGAACCUAUGUAAGGUUAAUACCCUUGUGUACUGACGGUACCACUGAAGGAAGCACCGGCUAACUCCGUGGCCAGCAGCCGCGGUAAUACGGAGGGUGCAAGCGUUAUUCGGAAUUAUUGGGCGUAAAGGGCGCGCAGGCGGGUUUGUAAGUCAGAGGUGAAAGCCCGGGGCUUAACCUCGGAAGUGCAUUUGAUACUGCAAGACUUGAGUAUGGGAGGGGGAAGUGGAAUUCCUGGUGUAGAGGUGAAAUUCGUAGAUAUCAGGAGGAACACCAGUGGCGAAGGCGACUUCCUGGACCAAUACUGACGCUGAGGCGCGAAGGCGUGGGGAGCAAACAGGAUUAGAUACCCCAGUAGUC